CGUAGGUGACAAGCGUUGUCCGGAUUUAUUGGGCGUAAAGGGAGCGCAGGCGGUCUGUUUAGUCUAAUGUGAAAGCCCACGGCUUAACCGUGGAACGGCAUUGGAAACUGACAGACUUGAAUGUAGAAGAGGAAAAUGGAAUUCCAAGUGUAGCGGUGGAAUGCGUAGAUAUUGGAGGAACACCAGUGGCGAAGGCGAUUUUCUGGUCUAACAUUGACGCUGAGGCUCGAAAAGCGUGGGGAGCGAAACAGGAUU
rnacentral:rRNA from 1 species